AUUGAACGCUGGCGGCGUGCCUAAUACAUGCAAGUCGAGCGCAGGAAGCCGUCUGAACCCUUCGGGGGGACGACGGUGGAAUGAGCGGCGGACGGGUGAGUAACACGUAAAGAACCUGCCCAUAGGUCUGGGAUAACCACGAGAAAUCGGGGCUAAUACCGGAUGUGUCAUCGGACCGCAUGGUCCGCUGAUGAAAGGCGCUCCGGCGUCGCCCAUGGAUGGCUUUGCGGUGCAUUAGCUAGUUGGUGGGGUAACGGCCCACCAAGGCGACGAUGCAUAGCCGACCUGAGAGGGUGAUCGGCCACACUGGGACUGAGACACGGCCCAGACUCCUACGGGAGGCAGCAGUAGGGAAUCUUCCACAAUGGACGAAAGUCUGAUGGAGCAACGCCGCGUGAACGAUGAAGGCUUUCGGGUCGUAAAGUUCUGUUGUAAGGGAAGAACAAGUGCCGCAGGCAAUGGCGGCACCUUGACGGUACCUUGCGAGAAAGCCACGGCUAACUACGUGCCAGCCGCCGCAGUAAUAC
rnacentral:rRNA from 1 species